ensembl:lncRNA
GUUACUCCUGAUUUACACCAACAUAAACAAGACCAGAAUCAAAGCCAUGCGGGAGCCCUAAGGGUAUGCUUAGAAUGGGAAGAAAAGGAAAGAACUCCACGCUAGACAAACUCACCAGCCCAGGGGGAUUCCUGGUUUGAACUGCUUGCUGUAUGACAAUCACCAGUCCUCUGGCAAAACUGCAGCAUGGAUAGCUUCAAAGAACAGUCAGUGCCAUGUGGAGAGAAGGUGCUGAGGAGCUGUGUAGAACAACAAAUUCAAAUGGAAAAUGAUUGCAAGGAGGCUUAAAGCCCACAGAGACCUAGCUGCUUCCAAAAGACUGAAAAAAAACUUUAAUAGGAAGAACCAGAGAACUGAAUGAGGCACUACUGGAACAGCUCAAUGCUUGACAGGAAAGCAAAAUGGAUCCAUACUGUGGAGUCAAUAAGAAGCACAGAAGAGCACCUCUGGGGAAAGAUUCAGAGAAUAAGAUGAUUAGAACCAUACCUUGGGGAGUUAAAGGGAGAAAUCCCCAAAUGCCUGGAGAACAAGCUGUUCCCGUCGUGAAGUACCUUAACAUCAAAGUGUGGAUGGGAAGCUCCACAGAGCUUUAGCAGAAUCUUAGAGAGACAGAAGUAGUGCUUUCUGAUAAACAAAUCACAAAACCAAAUAUAUCUACAACAGAAGUUACUGAAGUCCAACCAGUAUAUGACAGCAGACUCUUGAGAAGAACCAGAAGGGAAACCAGCUACAUAUUUUUGGUACAAAUCUACAGGAAAUGUAAGAACUAGCAACAGCUUGAUUACAGCAGUGCUAAGAAGAAAGAUCCAUCUACAGUGCAAGAUCCUCUGAAGGAGCAGCUCACUAAAAAUGCUGCAGUAACUUACUAGCAAUGCUGGAAUAAAAUUAAAAGAACAUUGACAGCCCCAGAGACUGUUUAAAUGGUGUCAGAUGGAAAUCUCUUGUUAAAGAUAAAUACUUGCCACACUGAGUUUAAUAAGUCUAACUCAGUAGAGUUAUCAAUGACAUCAAGAAACAGCUCAGUUCCUUACAUAAUAUAUUAUCAAGGCAACAACAAUAAGCUUAGGAAACUGCAG